AUGGGCUUUUAUCUCAAUAUUAUUUCCUUAUGAAGCAAGAAUUAAUUUAUUUUGUCAAUUUAGAUAAGUUUCGAUUUUAUAUUGGACUCUGUGGAAUGGUAAAUAUUCAGUUUCUCUCUCAUUCAGGAAAUUUUCUCCAUUUUUCUGGGGAGGAGGAGGGUUAACUUAAAUACAUUUAUAUUUGAAGAGGAAUCCUAGGCUACCACCCCGCAUGAUCUGAGCAUGAAUGUUAAGUAUAUAAGUAACUAAAUUGUCAAUUGUCAAAUUCCUUUUUAUCCAAGCCCCCCUCCCCCCUCUUUGGGAAUGGUUUUGGUGAGGAAGAUGGACUGAAACAGCUGGUGUUACUAGCUUUGGAAAAUUCGAAGUGAACUAUACAUAUGUACAUGUACAUUUCUUUUUUAAAAACUCAGAUAAAAAAGAUAUUGUUCCUAUAAAAGACACUCACUUUAAACCAAACAGUUCAUGCUUGGAUGGUGAACCAUCAUCUUUAAGUUGUUCCCCGAUAAAGAACGUUCAAGCAGCAUUAUAAAAAAAACUUUUAAAGUUUUCACCAAUUAUUGCAAAAUAUUUGUGGCAAAGGUCCUCUUUUUUCCAGAGGUGGUUUGUUUGUGUUAUCAGUUCUGUUUAUGUGAUUUUUUUUGGUAUGAAAUUGGAUUUAUCCUACACUGUACCUUUCCGUUGUUUGAUUUUAUUCAUAUUCAGACAUGUUUUACUGUGUUAUCGCUUCCAAAGUUUGUUAUUUUUAAUUAAAUAUAUAACAUU
rnacentral:misc_RNA from 1 species